rnacentral:rRNA from 1 species
GCGUGAUAAUUCGCCCUUUAAUUGUGGGCUUGAAUGAAUGGAUAAACGAAAAAUUUUCUGUCUCAAAACUAAAAAUAAAAAUUGACCUACAGGUGAAGAGACCUGUAUUGAAAUAAAGGACAAAAAGACCCUGUAGAGCUUAGCUCUAAUAAAAUAACUUUAUUUAUAUAAUUUAUAAUAAAUUAUCUUUUUUAUGAGAUUGGCUGGGGCGGCUAAGGAAAAUUUAAUCUUCCAUUUAAAACUUUAUUAUAGCUCUAAAAGAUUAAUAAAUCAAUAUUCAUCUGACCCUUUUUGAUCAUAAAAAAUAGCUACCUCAGGGAUAACAGAUUAAUCCUUCUUGAGAGUCCACAUUGACAGAAGGGA